rnacentral:rRNA from 1 species
GAUGAACGCUGGCGGCGUGCCUAAUACAUGCAAGUCGAGCGAACAGACGAGGAGCUUGCUCCUUUGACGUUAGCGGCGGACGGGUGAGUAACACGUGGAUAACCUACCUAUAAGACUGGGAUAACUUCGGGAAACCGGAGCUAAUACCGGAUAACAUGUUGAACCGCAUGGUUCAACAGUGAAAGACGGUCUUGCUGUCACUUAUAGAUGGAUCCGCGCCGCAUUAGCUAGUUGGUAAGGUAACGGCUUACCAAGGCAACGAUGCGUAGCCGACCUGAGAGGGUGAUCGGCCACACUGGAACUGAGACACGGUCCAGACUCCUACGGGAGGCAGCAGUAGGGAAUCUUCCGCAAUGGGCGAAAGCCUGACGGAGCAACGCCGCGUGAGUGAAGAAGGUCUUCGGAUCGUAAAACUCUGUUAUUAGGGAAGAACAAAUGUGUAAGUAACUAUGCACGUCUUGACGGUACCUAAUCAGAAAGCCACGGCUAACUACGUA